AGAGUUUGAUCCUGGCUCAGGAUGAACGCUAGCGGCAGGCUUAACACAUGCAAGUCGAGGGGCAGCAUAAUGGAUAGCAAUAUCUAUGGUGGCGACCGGCGCACGGGUGCGUAACGCGUAUGCAACCUACCUUUAACAGGGGGAUAACACUGAGAAAUUGGUACUAAUACCCCAUAAUAUCAUAGAAGGCAUCUUUUAUGGUUGAAAAUUCCGAUGGUUAGAGAUGGGCAUGCGUUGUAUUAGCUAGUUGGUGAGGUAACGGCUCACCAAGGCGACGAUACAUAGGGGGACUGAGAGGUUAACCCCCCACACUGGUACUGAGACACGGACCAGACUCCUACGGGAGGCAGCAGUGAGGAAUAUUGGUCAAUGGACGCAAGUCUGAACCAGCCAUGCCGCGUGCAGGAUGACGGCUCUAUGAGUUGUAAACUGCUUUUGUACGAGGGUAAACGCAGAUACGUGUAUCUGUCUGAAAGUAUCGUACGAAUAAGGAUCGGCUAACUCCGUGCCAGCAGCCGCGGUAAUACGGAGGAUUCAAGCGUUAUCCGGAUUUAUUGGGUUUAAAGGGUGCGUAGGCGGUUUGAUAAGUUAGAGGUGAAAUUUCGGGGCUCAACCCUGAACGUGCCUCUAAUACUGUUGAGCUAGAGAGUAGUUGCGGUAGGCGGAAUGUAUGGUGUAGCGGUGAAAUGCUUAGAGAUCAUACAGAACACCGAUUGCGAAGGCAGCUUACCAAACUAUAUCUGACGUUGAGGCACGAAAGCGUGGGGAGCAAACAGGAUUAGAUACCCUGGUAGUCCACGCAGUAAACGAUGAUAACUCGUUGUCGGCGAUACACAGUCGGUGACUAAGCGAAAGCGAUAAGUUAUCCACCUGGGGAGUACGUUCGCAAGAAUGAAACUCAAAGGAAUUGACGGGGGCCCGCACAAGCGGAGGAACAUGUG
rnacentral:rRNA from 1 species